rnacentral:lncRNA from 1 species
AGCAAUUUCAUGACGACAAUUACUAAUUUUUGCCACUAUACUCUUCACUGCACCCUCAGUUCUGUCUCCCCUAGAGUCCGACCAUCCCAUUGAUAUUGAUUCCAUGAAACCCUCUCUUCUAAUCCAUCUCUUAUCAAAUCGGAAUUGUCCUUUCCUCCUAGGAGCUUUGUCUUCUAAAUAAGCCACCACUGGACGAUGAUCAGAUGCCACCAUUUUUAAAUAUUCUGUAUAAGAGCAUGGGAAUAAAGUAUGCUAUUCUUCAUUUGCCAAAGCACGAUCUAGACGGCAUCUAACCAUCACUGCCCCUUUUCCUUUCUCUCUUCUCCCUUGCCAUGACAUUUUAUUUCCCCUCGCCGGGAAUUCCAGUAAUCCACUGUUUCUGAUCAUAUUAUUAAAAGGAAUAAAAGAAUACGCGUUCCUUAAAGAUCCUCCGUCUUUUUCAUGGUUACCUUUAAUCUCAUUUAGAUCGCCAAUAACGAACCAGGGUUCGGACCGUG